UACGUAGGGGGCAAGCGUUGUCCGGAAUCACUGGGCGUAAAGCGCACGUAGGCGGAUGUGUCAGUCAGGGGUGAAAUCCCGGAGCUCAACUUCGGAACUGCCUUUGAUACAGCACGUCUUGAGUCCGGAAGAGGUGGGUGGAAUUCCUAGUGUAGAGGUGAAAUUCGUAGAUAUUAGGAAGAACACCGGUGGCGAAGGCGGCCCACUGGUCCGGUACUGACGCUGAGGUGCGAAAGCGUGGGGAGCAAACAGG
rnacentral:rRNA from 1 species